rnacentral:rRNA from 1 species
GACGAACGCUGGCGGCGUGCUUAACACAUGCAGGUCGAACGUGAUUUUUGUGGAAAUUCUUUCGGGAAUGGAAAUGAAAUGAAAGUGGCGAACGGGUGAGUAACACGUGAGCAACCUACCUUACACAGGGGGAUAGCCGUUGGAAACGACGAUUAAUACCGCAUGAGACCACAGAAUCGCAUGAUAUAGGGGUCAAAGAUUUAUCGGUGUAAGAAGGGCUCGCGUCUGAUUAGCUAGUUGGAAGGGUAAAGGCCUACCAAGGCGACGAUCAGUAGCCGGUCUGAGAGGAUGAACGGCCACAUUGGAACUGAGACACGGUCCAAACUCCUACGGGAGGCAGCAGUGGGGAAUAUUGCACAAUGGGGGGAACCCUGAUGCAGCGACGCCGCGUGAGCGAAGAAGGUUUUCGAAUCGUAAAGCUCUGUCCUAUGAGAAGAUAAUGACGGUAUCAUAGGAGGAAGCCCCGGCUAAAUACGUG